UGCUGCAGAUAUGCUCGGUGCACUAAAUCAGUCUCCAUUGUUCCACCCGCAUAUUAUGCUUAUUGGCUGCUUUUUGCGCUAGGUAUUAUGUCGAGGAUGAAAUAUCAGAUGGAUCCUCCGGUGGUAGGGCUAAUGUUAAGCCAUUGCCUAUAAUCAAGGAAAAUGUGAAGGCUGUCAUGUUUUACUGCUGUAGAAAAUACUUAGUUGUUUUAUGCAACUGGGCUUUUGUUUCAUCUUUGCUGUUUUUUUGGCCUUCUUGGAGAUAGAUAUCCAGGGAUAAUUCAAACAUUGGUGUUUUGUUAGGCACAAAAUCAAGUUUGAGAACAAGAAAAUUAACUCAACUUUUGGUGUUUUGCAUGUUGUAU